GCAUCUCAGAGGAUGAGAGAGACCAAAGACAGCAUAAUGAAAAUGAAGAAAAAAUUCCACAGAAUAACAUGGCAGUGUCCAGAACAAAGGAAGUGGAAAAAGGAAAGGAAAAUCAAACUGUGGACUUCUUGCCUGCUGGAUGGAUACCAAGAAACCUGAUGGAUGUGGAGCAGGAAGAAAUCUUGUUUCCCUUGCAAGUGAGUGCAGGAGAUAUGACAUACAGAGCAAGAAGAGAGAAGUAACAGACCUAUUGUCUUCCUCAGAGACAUCUACAAGUCACAAUAUGUUCUCAGAAGAAUGA